rnacentral:rRNA from 1 species
GCUCAGGAUGAACGCUGGCGGUCUGCUUAACACAUGCAAGUCGAACGCAACCUUCGGGUUGAGUGGCGGACGGGUGAGUAACGCGUGAGAAUCUGCCUUGGGGUCGGGGACAACCACUGGAAACGGUGGCUAAUACCGGAUAAGCCUUUGGGUAAAAAAUUUAUUGCCCCAAGAGGAGCUCGCGUCUGAUUAGCUAGUUGGUGAGGUAAAAGCUCACCAAGGCAGCGAUCAGUAGCUGGUCUGAGAGGACGAUCAGCCACACUGGGACUGAGACACGGCCCAGACUCCUACGGGAGGCAGCAGUGGGGAAUUUUCCGCAAUGGGCGAAAGCCUGACGGAGCAAGACCGCGUGAGGGAGGAAGGCUCUUGGGUUGUAAACCUCUUUUCUCAGGGAAGAAGCUCUGACGGUACCUGAGGAAUCAGCCUCGGCUAACUCCGUGCCAGCAGCCGCGGUAAUACGGAGGAGGCAAGCGUUAUCCGGAAUUAUUGGGCGUAAAGCGUCCGCAGGUGGCGAUUCAAGUCUGCUGUCAAAGCACGGGGCUUAACUCCGUUAAGGCAGUGGAAACUGAAUAGCUAGAGUGCCGUAGGGGUAGAGGGAAUUCCCGGUGUAGCGGUGAAAUGCGUAGAGAUCGGGAAGAACAUCGGUGGCGAAAGCGCUCUACUGGACGGCAACUGACACUCAGGGACGAAAGCUAGGGGAGCGAAUGGGAUUAGAUACCCCAGUAGUCCUAGCUGUAGACGAUGGAUACUAGGUGUAGCUUGUAUCGACCCGAGCUGUGCCGAAGCUAACGCGUUAAGUAUCCCGCCUGGGGAGUACGCACGCAAGUGUGAAACUCAAAGGAAUUGACGGGGGCCCGCACAAGCGGUGGAGUAUGUGGUUUAAUUCGAUGCAACGCGAA